CGAACGGUAACAUUUCUAGCUUGCUAGAAGAUGACGAGUGGCGGACGGGUGAGUAAUGCUUGGGAACUUGCCUUUGCGAGGGGGAUAACAGUUGGAAACGACUGCUAAUACCGCAUAAUGUCUUCGGACCAAACGGGGCUUUUACCUCCGGCGCAAAGAGAGGCCCAAGUGAAAUUAGCUAGUUGGUAAGGUAACGGCUUACCAAGGCGACAAUCUCUAGCUGUUCUGAGAGGAAAAUCACCCACACUGGGACUGAAACACGGCCCAAACUCCUACGGGAGGCAGCAGUGGGGAAUAUUGCACAAUGGGGGAAACCCUGAUGCAGCCAUGCCGCGUGUGUGAAAAAGGCCUUCGGGUUGUAAAGCACUUUCAGUUGUGAGGAAAAGUUAGUAGUUAAUACCUGCUAGCCGUGACGUUAACAACAAAAAAAGCACCGGCUAACUCCGUGCCAGCAGCCGCGGUAAUACGGAGGGUGCGAGCGUUAAUCGGAAUUACUGGGCGUAAGCGCACGCAGGCGGUUUGUUAAGCUAGAUGUGAAAGCCCCGGGCUCAACCUGGGAUGGUCAUUUAGAACUGGCAGACUAGAGUCUUGGAGAGGGGAGUGGAAUUCCAGGUGUAGCGGUGAAAUGCGUAGAUAUCUGGAGGAACAUCAGUGGCGAAGGCGACUCCCUGGCCAAAGACUGACGCUCAUGUGCGAAAGUGUGGGUAGCGAACAGGAUUAGAUACCCUGGUAGUCCACACCGUAAACGCUGUCUACUAGCUGUGUGUGCCUUUAAGCGUGCGUAGCGAAGCUAACGCGCUAAGUAGACCGCCUGGGGAGUACGGCCGCAAGGUUUAAACUCAAAUGAAUUUGACGGGGGCCCGCACAAGCGGUGGAGCAUGUGUUUAUUUCGAUGCA
rnacentral:rRNA from 1 species